rnacentral:sRNA from 1 species
AAAAAAAAACGUCUAUUGAAAAUAUCACUUAUAAAAGAGCCACAAAGUAAAUUAGACUAAUUAUGUGUGUGAUUGGUUCGUCUGUAACUGUAGAUUUUUUGCUGUAGAAUUUUUGUUGUAUGUGUGAUGACUGUAGCUGUAGAUUUUAUUGCUGUAGAAAUUAGGCGGUAGGUUUUAUUAGUUUAAUAUUAUUACUUGAAGAAAUUGGUUGU